UGAACGCUGGCGGCGUGCCUAACACAUGUCAAGUCGAACGGGGUUAAGUGAAAUUUCGGAUGGACCUAACUAGUGGCGGACGGGUGAGUAACGCGUGGAUAACCUGCCUCACGACUGGGGGAUAGCAGCUGGAAACGGCUGGUAAUACCGCAUAAGACCACAGCACCGCAUGGUGCAGGGGUAAAAGAUUUAUCGGUGUGAGAUGGAUCCGCGUCUGAUUAGCCAGUUGGCGGGUAACGGCCACCAAAGCGACGAUCAGUAGCCGGCCUGAGAGGGUGAACGGCCACAUUGGGACUGAGACACGGCCCAAACUCCUACGGGAGGCAGCAGUGGGGAAUAUUGCACAAUGGGCGCAAGCCUGAUGCAGCAACGCCCGCGUGAGUGAAGAAGUAUUUCGGUAUGUAAAGCUCUAUCGGCAGGGAAGAAAGGCCCGAAAGGGAGAUGACGGUACCUGACUAAGAAGCCCCGGCUAACUACGUGCCAGCCGCAGC
rnacentral:rRNA from 1 species